UACGUAGGUGGCAAGCGUUGUCCGGAUUUAUUGGGCGUAAAGCGAGCGCAGGCGGUUCCUUAAGUCUGAUGUGAAAGCCCCCGGCUCAACCGGGGAAGGUCAUUGGAAACUGUUUAACUUGAGUGCAGAAGGGGAGAGUGGAAUUCCAUGUGUAGCGGUGAAAUGCGCAGAUAUCAGGAGGAACACCGGUGGCGAGGGCUGC
rnacentral:rRNA from 1 species